ACGAACGCUGGCGGCGUGCUUAACACCUGCAAGUCGAACGGAAAGGCCCUGCUUUUGUGGGGUGCUCGAGUGGCGAACGGGUGAGUAACACGUGAGUAACCUGCCCUUGACUUUGGGAUAACUUCAGGAAACUGGGGCUAAUACCGGAUAGGAGCUCCUGCUGCAUGGUGGGGGUUGGAAAGUUUCGGCGGUUGGGGAUGGACUCGCGGCUUAUCAGCUUGUUGGUGGGGUAGUGGCUUACCAAGGCUUUGACGGGUAGCCGGCCUGAGAGGGUGACCGGCCACAUUGGGACUGAGAUACGGCCCAGACUCCUACGGGAGGCAGCAGUGGGGAAUAUUGCACAAUGGGCGGAAGCCUGAUGCAGCAACGCCACGUGCGGGAUGACGGCCUUCGGGUUGUAAACCGCUUUCGCCUGUGACGAAGCGUGAGUGACGGUAAUGGGUAAAGAAGCACCGGCUAACUACGUG
rnacentral:rRNA from 1 species